rnacentral:rRNA from 1 species
CCUGAGAAACCCAAAAGAUCGAAUGGGGAGAUUCAUCGUCAGCUCAUUUUGUAUAUGUAUAAGUUAUGAUGCGGGUUACUACUUGUAGUAUUGCUUGCACAUUCUUGUAUAUUUAUUUGCAAGAUGUUGUCGGCGUGCACUUCUUCCCUAGUAGGACGUCGCGACCUGUUGGGUGUCGGUCUACGGCCCAUGUGAUAGACUUUAAUGUAAUUUAAAAAGCAUUAAAGAUCCAUGGUGUUUUCUGACCGGCUACUUGGCAGUAUUCGUACGGUAUUUAGCCGCUAAAUUUAUUAAGCGUCCAUAUCCGUCACAAGCGAGGCUAAUUUUACUGAUAGUACGGACCUAGUGCCGUCGUUGGUAUUGGCCAGCUGUUGGUUGUAUGGUAUUCUAGGACUGGCUAAAAUUGAUUACCGGUCUGCGAUGCUACUGCUUUGGGUACUUUCAG